UACGAAGGGGGCUAGCGUUGCUCGGAAUUACUGGGCGUAAAGCGCACGUAGGCGGCUUUCUAAGUCGGGGGUGAAAUCCUGGAGCUCAACUCCAGAACUGCCUUCGAUACUGGAAAGCUCGAGUCCGGGAGAGGUGAGUGGAACUGCGAGUGUAGAGGUGAAAUUCGUAGAUAUUCGCAAGAACACCAGUGGCGAAGGCGGCUCACUGGCCCGAUACUGACGCUGAGGUGCGAAAGCGUGGGGAGCAAACAGGG
rnacentral:rRNA from 1 species